rnacentral:piRNA from 1 species
UACUUUGUCAUUUGCUCCCCCCUUGUGGAA